GGAGGGCAAGUCUGGUGCCAGCAGCCGCGGUAAUUCCAGCUCCAAUAGCGUAUAUUAAAGUUGUUGUGGUUAAAAAGCUCGUAGUUGAACCUUGGGCCUGGCUGGCCGGUCCGCCUCACCGCGUGUACUGGUCCGGCCGGGCCUUUCCCUCUGUGGAACCCCAUGCCCUUCACUGGGUGUGGCGGGGAAACAGGACUUUUACUGUGAAAAAAUUAGAGUGCUCCAGGCAGGCCUAUGCUCGAAUACAUUAGCAUGGAAUAAUAGAAUAGGACGUGUGGUUCUAUUUUGUUGGUUUCUAGGACCGCCGUAAUGAUUAAUAGGGACAGUCGGGGGCAUCAGUAUUCAAUUGUCAGAGGUGAAAUUCUUGGAUCUAUUGAAGACUAACUACUGCGAAAGCAUUUGCCAAGGAUGUUUUCAUUAAUCAGGAACGAAAGUUAGGGGAUCGAAGACGAUCAGAUACCGUCGUAGUCUUAACCAUAAACUAUGCCGACUAGGGAUCGGACGAUGUUACUUAUUGACUCGUUCGGCGCCUUACGGGAAAC
rnacentral:rRNA from 1 species